UACGAAGGUGGCAAGCGUUGUUCGGAUUUACUGGGCGUAAAGGGCGCGUAGGCGGCAAUUCAAGUCAGCUGUGAAAUCUCCGGGCUUAACUCGGAACGGUCAGCUGAUACUGCUUUGCUAGAGUGUAGAAGGGGCAAUCGGAAUUCUUGGUGUAGCGGUGAAAUGCGUAGAUAUCAAGAGGAACACCUGAGGUGAAGACGGGUUGCUGGGCUGACACUGACGCUGAGGCGCGAAAGCUAGGGUAGCAAACGGG
rnacentral:rRNA from 1 species